rnacentral:lncRNA from 1 species
GCUUAGAUUCUACAGUGGAAGGGGGGGGACCCGGAAACCCACGGGAAGUGUCUGUUCUGUGACUCCUCAGGAUUUUCCAAACUGUCUCAUGGGUGUCAUUGGUCCCUCAAAAGAAAGAGCAGUCCUCCUGGAGGACCAGGCUGCUCAGAGUCACUGGAGCAAACGAGGAGGCUGGAGGGAGUCAGAUGUCUUACCAGCAACCUGGAUUUUAGACAAGGAAAAGCAGCUAACAUGUGUCCGGACAGCUGGGGGAGACUCGGGCCUCUGAGGCACAGCAAGGACAAAGCCUGAGACAUUAUCAACACGAAGAAGUAUGAGAUGAGACAGAAGUGUCCUGGAGGAAAGAGAUCAAAAGCGAGGAGGAGCUUGGGGGCCCAGAAGCGGGAGCAGGAUCAGAUUUCUCCUGUGUCCGUCCAUGGCUGGAUCGGUGGAGAUUGCGUGGAGAUGUUUGCAGCUCAUCCAGAGCACGUUUAAUCUAUAUUUAGAAAACAACCAAA